rnacentral:snRNA from 1 species
AACGUCAAAAAAGACAUUCAACA